rnacentral:rRNA from 1 species
ACGGAGGCAGCAGUGGGGAAUAUUGGACAAUGGGGGAAACCCUGAUCCAGCGACGCCGCGUGAGUGAAGAAGUAUUUCGGUAUGUAAAGCUCUAUCAGCAGGGAAGAUGAUGACGGUACCUGACUAAGAAGCCCCGGCUAACUACGUGCCAGCAGCCGCGGUCAUACGUAUGGAGCAAGCGUUAUCCGGAUUUACUGGGUGUAAAGGGAGCGUAGACGGCGAAACAAGUCUGAAGUGAAAUCCCGGGGCUCAACCCCGGAACGGCUUUGGAAACUGUUUUGCUAGAGUGCAGGAGAGGUAAGCGGAAUUCCUAGUGUAGCGGUGAAAUGCGUAGAUAUUAGGAGGAACACCAGUGGCGAAGGCGGCUUACUGGACUGUAACUGACGUUGAGGCUCGAAAGCGUGGGGAGCAAACAGGAUUAGAUACCCUGGUA